CCUACGGGGGGCUGCAGUGGGGAAUAUUGGGCAAUGGGCGCAAGCCUGACCCAGCAACGCCGCGUGAAGGAAGAAGGCUUUCGGGUUGUAAACUUCUUUUAAGAGGGAAGAGCAGAAGACGGUACCUCUUGAAUAAGCCACGGCUAAAUACGGGCCAGCAGCCGCGGUAAUACGUAGGUGGCAAGCGUUGUCCGGAUUUACUGGGUGUAAAGGGCGUGCAGCCGGUAAGACAAGUCAGAUGUGAAAUCCCGCGGCUCAACCGCGGAACUGCAUUUGAAACUGUUUUUCUUGAGUACCGGAGAGGUCGUCGGAAUUCCUUGUGUAGCGGUGAAAUGCGUAGAUAUAAGGAAGAACACCAGUGGCGAAGGCAGAUGACUGGACGGCAACUGACGGUGAGGCGCGAAAGCGUGGGGAGCAAACAGGAUUAGAUACCCGGGUAGUC
rnacentral:rRNA from 1 species